rnacentral:rRNA from 1 species
AUUGAACGCUGGCGGCAGGCCUAACACAUGCAAGUCGAGCGGAUGAAGGGAGCUUGCUCCUAGAUUCAGCGGCGGACGGGUGAGUAAUGCCUAGGAAUCUGCCUGGUGGUGGGGGAUAACGUCCGGAAACGGGCGCUAAUACCGCAUACGUCCUGAGGGAGAAAGUGGGGGAUCUUCGGACCUCACGCUAUCAGAUGAGCCUAGGUCGGAUUAGCUAGUUGGUGGGGUAAAGGCCUACCAAGGCGACGAUCCGUAACUGGUCUGAGAGGAUGAUCAGUCACACUGGAACUGAGACACGGUCCAGACUCCUACGGGAGGCAGCAGUGGGGAAUAUUGGACAAUGGGCGAAAGCCUGAUCCAGCCAUGCCGCGUGUGUGAAGAAGGUCUUCGGAUUGUAAAGCACUUUAAGUUGGGAGGAAGGGCAGUAAGUUAAUACCUUGCUGUUUUGACGUUACCAACAGAAUAAGCACCGGCUAACUUCGU